rnacentral:rRNA from 1 species
CAUUCAAAGAGUGCGUAACAGCUCACUGGUCGAGUGGACAUGCGCCGACAAUACACGGGGCUAAGCUGGACACCGAAGCGGCGGGAUUUUGAUUUUCAGAAUCGGUAGGGGAGCUUCCCAUGGGCGGAGAAGCCGGAGGGCGACCGACGGUGGAGCGCAUGGGAGUGAGAAUGCUGGCAUGAGUAGCGAGAGACGAGAGAGUAACUCGUCCGCCGUGAACCCGAGGUUUCCUGGGCAAGGCUAAUCCUCCCAGGGUCAGUCGGGGGCUAAGGCGAGGCCGGGAGGCGUAGCCGACGCGCAGCAGGCAGACAUUCCUGCACCGCGCACGCGGCGCUACGACCGACGGGGCGACGGAUGGGGGUGGCUCGGCGGGGUUCUGGACGUCCCCGUGAUGGAGCGCGGCCCGCGGACCAGGGAAAUCCGGUCCGCAUCAAGGGCGAGGCUCCGGACGAAGCGAUUGAGCGAAGCGAGUGAGCCCGAGGUCCCUAGAAAAACCCCUAGGCAGGCGCGUGCGCGCCCGUACCGCAAACCGACACAGGUGGGUGGGUAGAACAUACCGAGGCGAUCGGGUCAACCAUGGUCAAGGAACUCGGCACAAUGGCCCCGUAACUUCGGGAGAAGGGGUGCCCGCGCGUACGUGAACCGGCUCGCCCGGGGAGCGGAGGCGGGCCGCAGUGGAGAGGCCCAAGCGACUGUUUACCAAAAACACAGGACUCUGCAGAAGCCGCAAGGCGACGUAUAGGGUCUGACGCCUGCCCGGUGCCGGAAGGUCACGCGGAGGAGUUAGCCGUCAAGGCGAAGCCCCGAAGCCAAGCCCCGGUAAACGGCGGCCGUAACUAUAACGGUCCUAAGGUAGCGAAAUUCCUUGUCGGGUAAGUUCCGACCUGCACGAAAGGCGCAACGACUUGGGCGCUGUCUCGACCAUGGACCCGGUGAAAUUGCACUGGUCGUGAAGAUGCGACUUACCCGCGGAAGGACGGAAAGACCCCGUGAACCUUCACUGCAGCUUGGCAUUGGCCGCUGGUCCCGCGUGUAGAGGAUAGGCAGGAGGCACAGAUCCGGAGGCGCCAGCCCCCGGGGAGCCGCCCUUGGAAUACUGCCCUCGCGCGACCGGCGUCCUAACCCGAGGCCGUCAACCGGCUCGGGGACCGUGCCAGGCGGGCAGUUUGACUGGGGCGGUCGCCUCCUAAAGGGUAACGGAGGCGCGCGAAGGUCCGCUCGGGACGGUCGGCAACCGUCCUUUUGAAUGCAAGAGUACAAGCGGGCUUGACUGCGAGGCCCACAAGCCGAGCAGGUGCGAAAGCAGGCUCUAGUGAUCCGGCGGCCCCGAGUGGGUGGGCCGUCGCUCAACGGAUAAAAGGUACUCCGGGGAUAACAGGCUGAUCUUGCCCAAGAGUCCACAUCGACGGCAAGGUUUGGCACCUCGAUGUCGGCUCAUCGCAUCCUGGGGCUGGAGCAGGUCCCAAGGGUACGGCUGUUCGCCGUUUAAAGCGGUACGCGAGCUGGGUUCAGAACGUCGUGAGACAGUUCGGUCCCUAUCCUCCGUGGGCGCAGGAGAAUCGAUGGAGGCUGCCCCCAGUACGAGAGGACCGGGGUGGACGCACCUCCGGUGAACCGGUUGUCGACCAACGGCACGGCCGGGUAGCCGCGUGCGGCGCGGAUAACCGCUGAAGGCAUCUAAGCGGGAAGCCGUUCCAGGGAUUAGUUCUCCUUCCGGUAAGGGCCCAGGUAGACUACCUGGUCGAUAGACGGCAGGUGCAAGGGCGGCGACGUCCUCAGCCGAGCCGCACUAAUCGCCCGAGCUCUUCCGGAA